rnacentral:rRNA from 1 species
ACUCCUACGGGAGGCAGCAGUGGGGAAGUAUUGCACAAUGGGCGGCAAGCCUGAUGCAGCAACGCCGUGUGAGUGAAGAAGGUUUUCGGUAUCGUAAAACUACUGUCCUAAGGGAAGAAAAAAUAGACGGUACCUUAGGAGGAAGCCCGGCCUAACUACGUGCCAGCAGCCGCGGUAAUACGUAGGGGCGAAGCGUUAUCCGGAAUCACUGGGCGUAAAGGGUGCGUAGGCGGCUUAGCAAGCCAGGGGUGAAAGGCAUUGGCUCAACCAAUGUAAGCCUUUGGAACUGUUAAGCUUGAGUGCAGGAGAGGUAAGUGGAAUUCCUAGUGUAGAGGUGAAAUUCGUAGAUAUUAGGAGGAACGACCAGUGGCGAAGGCGACUUACUGGACUGUAACUGACGCUGAUGCACGAAAGCGU